rnacentral:lncRNA from 1 species
UCACUAUUUUUAACAGGACUUACACCUGUAGUAGGUUUUGGCAAAGGAUUUGAUUUCUUCACUUUAUGGUUCUUCCCUUUUUUCUUACGGUUAGAAGCACCAUGUAUUUCCUUGUUUUGCUUUGGUAAGGAAUUCAAGUUUUCGUCCUCUAGCAGCUCAUACUUUGUACAGUCAAGAGAAAUAAUCAUGAGUAACCCCCGUAAUUUUCUUAAUAUACUAUCAGAAAGAGUAUUAACAGAUUCUAAUGAACUAAAAAAUAGUUUUCCACUGUCAGGAGACU